rnacentral:rRNA from 1 species
CAGUAGCCGCGGUAAUACGUAGGGUGCAAGCGUUAAUCGGAAUUACUGGGCGUAAAGCGUGCACAGGCGGUUCGCUAAGACAGAUGUGAAAUCCCCGGGCUUAACCUGGGAACUGCAUUUGUGACUGGCGGGCUAGAGUAUGGCAGAGGGGGGUAGAAUUCCACGUGUAGCAGUGAAAUGCGUAGAGAUGUGGAGGAAUACCGAUGGCGAAGGCAGCCCCCUGGGCCAAUACUGACGCUCAUGCACGAAAGCGUGGGGAGCAAACAGGAUUAGAUACCCGAGUAGUCCCUGUCUCUUAUAC